UACGUAGGGACCAAGCGUUGUCCGGAAUCAUUGGGCGUAAAGAGCGUGUAGGCGGCUUGUUAAGUCUUGCGUGAAAUCUCGGGGCUCAACCCCGAGCGGUCGUGAGAAACUGGCAGGCUAGAGUGCGGGAGAGGGGAGUGGAAUUCCUGGUGUAGCGGUGAAAUGCGCAGAUAUCAGGAAGAACACCCGUGGCGAAGGCGGCUCUCUGGAACGCAACUGACGCUGAGACGCGAAAGCGUGGGGAGCAAACAGG
rnacentral:rRNA from 1 species